CACAUUCAGAUACUAUAGAAAGACUGUUUCAAACCUGCUCUAUGAAAGGGAAUGUUCAACUCUGUGACGUGAAUGCAGAUAUCACAAAGCAGUUUCUGAGAAUGUUUCUGUCUAGGUUUUCUAUGAAGAUACUCCCGUUUCCAACGAAAUCCACAAAGCCAUCCAAAUAUCCACUUGCAGAUUCUACAAAAAUCGUGUUUCCAAACUGCUCUGUCAAACGAAAUGUUCAACUCUGUGAGUUGAGGACACACAUCACAAACAAGUUUCUGCGAAUGCUUCAGUCUAGUUUGCAUGGGAAGAUAUU
rnacentral:lncRNA from 1 species